rfam:Mycobacterium haemophilum strain TC3 contig_4, whole genome shotgun sequence.
GCGGGCGUGGCGAAACGGUAUACGCGCCGGCUUUAGGUGCCGGUGCUCGAAAGAGCAUGUGGGUUCGACUCCCUCCGCCCGCA